AGGGAGAGUGACAAGGAUUCUCAUCUCCAUUCUAGAUGAGGGGUGGGGUAAGUGUUCUAUAGCUUGACUCCCCACCCACUUUUUCCUCAGUUCUCUGACCUCUUCAAUGCCCUGGAAGGUGGGAGUGGGAUUCAAGGUCAAAGGGCAGUGGGAGUAAGAGGGAGAAGAACUAAGAUCUGUUGAGUGCUUCCUAUGUGCUGGGUAACAUCCAUGCUUUGUGGAAACCUGACAAUCACCCUGUAAGUUAAUCUUCUCUGUACUCUACGGGAGAGCAACUGAGUCUCCAUCACACUGAACGACUUGCCCAAAGUUAAACAGAGAGUGAGGGGUGGAGCCAGUAUCUGAACCUAGGCUUGCUAGCCUCGUCCAGUAAGUCACACAGAUGACUUUCACUAGUGUCCCCAAUAAAGGAUCCCUAUAGAAGUGAAAAAUGGGUUGGGAGGAAAUAGAACAAUGUCCAACACUCAGAACAGAGGCAAUAAAAGGUACCCUCACUCCUUUCCUCUCUAUUCUCUCUUUCCAUUAUCACAGGAUUAGAGGUGGAGAGUGGGUGGCAGCGGGUGGCGCUUCUGUGGAAAGAAGCGAAGCGAUACCAAAUUGAGGCCAGCUGGAGGAGGACACUCUUUGAGAAUCUGGGGAGCAUGUCAAAAGGCACAAUGAUCGUUUUCUCUCUCUUCUUUCUCUCUUCACUGGGACAAGGUAAAUGACUGAAGUGUUACUGAUCAAGAUGAAAGGAAGAGCACUGCUCCUCUCUGUUCAGGAAGAACACUUCCUGAUGGAUAUUCAAGCUGGGAAGAAAUAUAAGUUGCAUGUUUCCUGACAUAUUUUGUAGCACCUGUUCACCAACACCCCAUUCUAAAGGAUACUGCUUUAUUGUGUCCUAUGUUUCCUCACCUGCUUCAACUGCAACUGAUUGGGAACAUCACCGAAGGGAGAAAGCUGGGAGGCAAAGCCUGGUGUUUUGUUUGGGUAGAGAAAGAAUGUGUCUUGAAAGUCAAAAGCAUGGGUUAUUCCUUGGAUAUAUUUCUGUGAUGAGCUACUAUCUAAUAGGAAAAGGGAGGAUGUCCGCCUGGCCUGCAGACUCAGUACGGUGGAAUUUUGACAGCAAUUUGCAAUUAGGUUUUUUGCAACUAACUGUAUCCAGGCAAAACGAUGAAGAUGAUGAAACUUAGACUGAUCAUCUCCCAGGUAUUUCUGAGUUUAUCCAAGCCCCUCAAGAUGUAUCCUAUUCUGAUGAAGAAGGGAAGCAGAACUGAAGAUUCAUUUAUACCCAGGAAUUAACAUGUUUAUCUUCUUCCUUUCUGGGAAUAAUAUCUGCAAGAAACAAAAGGAGAUGGCAAGGCUGAAGUGAACCAAGGAAGGAAAGAAACCG
rnacentral:lncRNA from 1 species